AGAGUUUGAUCCUGGCUCAGGAUGAACGCUAGCUACAGGCUUAACACAUGCAAGUCGAGGGGAAACGAUAUUGGAAGCUUGCUUCCGAUAGGCGUCGACCGGCGCACGGGUGAGUAACGCGUAUCCAACCUGCCCACCACUUGGGGAUAACCUUGCGAAAGUAAGACUAAUACCCAAUGACGUCUCUAGAAGACAUCUGAAAGAGAUUAAAGAUUUAUCGGUGAUGGAUGGGGAUGCGUCUGAUUAGCUUGUUGGCGGGGUAACGGCCACCAAGGCUACGAUCAGUAGGGGUUCUGAGAGGAGUCCCCCANAUUGGAACUGAGACACGGUCCAACUCCUACGGGAGGCA
rnacentral:rRNA from 1 species